rnacentral:rRNA from 1 species
GUAGGUGGCAAGCGUUGUCCGGAAUUAUUGGGCGUAAAGCGCGCGCAGGUGGUUCUUUAAGUCUGAUGUGAAAGCCCCCGGCUCAACCGGGGAGGGUCAUUGGAAACUGGGGAACUUGAGUGCAGGAGAGGAAAGUGGAAUUCCACGUGUAGCGGUGAAAUGCGUAGAUAUGUGGAGGAACACCAGUGGCGAAGGCGACUUUCUGGCCUGUAACUGACACUGAGGCGCGAAAGCGUGGGGAGCAAACAGGGAUUAGAUACCCUGGUAGUCCACGCCGUAAACGAUGAGUGCUAAGUGUUGGGGGGUUUCCGCCCCCUCAGUGCUGCAGCUAACGCAUUAAGCACUCCGCCUGGGAGUACGGUCGCAAGACUG